rnacentral:rRNA from 1 species
ACGCUGGCGGCAGGCCUAACACAUGCAAGUCGAGCGGUAGAGAGAAGCUUGCUUCUCUUGAGAGCGGCGGACGGGUGAGUAAUGCCUAGGAAUCUGCCUGGUAGUGGGGGAUAACGUUCGGAAACGGACGCCAAUACCGCAUACGUCCUACGGGAGAAAGCAGGGGACCUUCGGGCCUUGCGCUAUCAGAUGAGCCUAGGUCGGAUUAGCUAGUCGGUGGGGUAAUGGCUCACCAAGGCGACGAUCCGUAACUGGUCUGAGAGGAUGAUCAGUCACACUGGAACUGAGACACGGUCCAGACUCCUACGGGAGGCAGCAGUGGGGAAUAUUGGACAAUGGGCGAAAGCCUGAUCCAGCCAUGCCGCGUGUGUGAAGAAGGUCUUCGGAUUGUAAAGCACUUUAAGUUGGGAGGAAGGGUUGUAGAUUAAUACUCUGCAAUUUUGACGUUACCGACAGAAUAAGCACCGGCUAACUCUGUGCCAGCAGCCGAGGUAAUACAGAGGGUGCAAGCGUUAAUCGGAAUUACUGGGCGUAAAGCGCGCGUAGGUGGUUUGUUAAGUUGGAUGUGAAAUCCCCGGGCUCAACCUGGGAACUGCAUUCAAAACUGACUGACUAGAGUAUGGUAGAGGGUGGUGGAAUUUCCUGUGUAGCGGUGAAAUGCGUAGAUAUAGGAAGGAACACCAGUGGCGAAGGCGACCACCUGGACUAAUACUGACACUGAGGUGCGAAAGCGUGGGGAGCAAAC